GACGAACGCUGGCGGCGUGCCUAAUACAUGCAAGUCGAACGCACUCUCGUUUAGAUUGAAGGAGUUUGCUCCUGAUUGAUAAACAUUUGAGUGAGUGGCGGACGGGUGAGUAACACGUGGGUAACCUGCCCUAAAGUGGGGGAUAACAUUUGGAAACAGAUGCUAAUACCGCAUAAAACCUAACACCGCAUGGUGUAGGGUUGAAAGAUGGUUUCGGCUAUCACUUUAGGAUGGACCCGCGGUGCAUUAGUUAGUUGGUGAGGUAAAGGCUCACCAAGACCGUGAUGCAUAGCCGACCUGAGAGGGUAAUCGGCCACACUGGGACUGAGACACGGCCCAGACUCCUACGGGAGGCAGCAGUAGGGAAUCUUCCACAAUGGACGAAAGUCUGAUGGAGCAACGCCGCGUGAGUGAAGAAGGUUUUCGGAUCGUAAAACUCUGUUGUUGGAGAAGAAUGUAUCUGAUAGUAACUGAUCAGGUAGUGACGGUAUCCAACCAGAAAGCUACGGCUAACUACGUG
rnacentral:rRNA from 1 species